rnacentral:lncRNA from 1 species
AGAAAGAAUAAAAGAAAAGGCAUGUUUGGAUAUACAAGGUGGCAAAAAAUUAUCUCCCAUGUGUCUCUUCCCAGGAAGCUAGUGGAGGACCUGCAACGACAAAACCAAAGAAUAAAGCAAGAGGAUAGACAUCAUGGAAAUAACUACAUGGACCUCAGGGACAUCUUUGAGCAACAUUGUGAUUGGAUUCAACCAGGAACAACAGUUUUAAGGUUUAAUGGCUGCUCCAGUGACAUCUGCAUUAAUGAGGGGGAAAAGAAAAAGGAUCCCUCAUUGAUGGAGAAAGAGUCCCCCUGGGUAGUGAAAGGGUUAAAAGCACACACCCGUGAAGUGGGGAGACCGUGGCUGGAACCCAGGGAACCCGAGUGUACUGGCCCCCUCUCCACUGCUGACUGCUGUGGCUGGUCUGUGCUCCAUCACUCCACGUGACACCUGACUGGCAGGGUGGUCCCUUUGGAUGCUAAUCUGACCACAUCACCUUCUGUUUAUGCCUCCCGUUGCCCAGGAUAAAGUCUCAGGACUUUGGCAGAAUAUACAAAGGCCUCUGUGACAGGCGCCCUGCCCCCACAGCCCAAUCAGGUCACUCUCUUUAACGCGCCCUCUGUACCUACUUUAAUCUGAUCUGCUUGCAGUUCCCUGCGUAAUGAU